rnacentral:rRNA from 1 species
AUUGAACGCUGGCGGCAGGCCUAACACAUGCAAGUCGAACGAGUGGCGGACGGGUGAGUAAUGUCUGGGAAACUGCCCGAUGGAGGGGGAUAACUACUGGAAACGGUAGCUAAUACCGCAUACCAUCGGAUGUGCCCAGAGGGGAUUAGCUAGUAGGUGGGGUAACGGCUCACCUAGGCGACGAUCCCUAGCUGGUCUGAGAGGAUGACCAGCCACACUUGAACUGAGACACGGUCCCGACUCCUACGGGAGGCAUCAGUGGGGAAUCUUGCACAAUGGGCGCAAGCCUGAUGCAGCCAUGCCGCGUGUAUGAAGAAGGCCUUCGGGUUGUAAAGCACUUUCAGUGAGGAGGCGUUACUAACAGAAGAAGCACCGGCUAACUCCGUGCCAGCAGCCGCGGUAAUAC